rnacentral:rRNA from 1 species
ACGGGAGGCAGCAGUGGGGGAUAUUGCACAAUGGGGGGAACCCUGAUGCAGCGACGCCGCGUGAGUGAAGAAGUAUUUCGGUAUGUAAAGCUCUAUCAGCAGGGAAGAAGAUGACGGUACCUGCAGAAGAAGCCCCGGCUAACUACGUGCCAGCAGCCGCGGUAAUACGUAGGGGGCAAGCGUUAUCCGGAUUUACUGGGUGUAAAGGGAGCGUAGACGGAACGGCAAGUUUGAAGUGAAAAUUACAGGCUUAACUUGUAACCUGCUUUGAAAACUGUCGAUCUUGAGUACCGGAGGGGCAGGCGGAAUUCCCAGUGUAGCGGUGAAAUGCGUAGAUAUUGGGAAGAACACCGGUGGCGAAGGCGGCCUGCUGGACGGUAACUGACGUUGAGGCUCGAAAGCGUGGGGAGCAAACAGGAUUAGAUACCCUGGUA